rnacentral:tRNA from 1 species
GUGGUCGUGGUCUAGCGGUUAUGAUGUCUGGUUCACACGCAGAAGAUCCCCAGUUCGAACCCCGGCGACGUCA